ACUGAGCGGCGGACGGGUGAGUAACGCGUGGGUAACCUGCCUCGUACGAGGGGAUAACAGUUGGAAACGGCUGCUAAUACCGCAUAAGCGCACAGUACCGCAUGGUACGGUGUGAAAAACUCCGGUGGUAUGAGAUGGACCCGCGUCUGAUUAGGUAGUUGGUGGGGUAACGGCCUACCAAGCCGACGAUCAGUAGCCGACCUGAGAGGGUGACCGGCCACAUUGGGACUGAGACACGGCCCAA
rnacentral:rRNA from 1 species